rnacentral:rRNA from 1 species
AAGCAGGGGAUCGCAAGACCUUGCGCUUUUAGAGCGGCCGAUGCCUGAUUAGCUAGUUGGUGAGGUAAUGGCCUACCAAGGCAACGAUCAGUAGCUGGUCUGAGAGGACGACCAGCCACACUGGGACUGAGACACGGCCCAGACUCCUACGGGAGGCAGCAGUGGGGAAUUUUGGACAAUGGGCGCAAGCCUGAUCCAGCCAUGCCGCGUGAGUGAAGAAGGCCUUCGGGUUGUAAAGCUCUUUCAGCCGGGAAGAAAUCGUUCGGACUAAUACUCCGGAUGGAUGACGGUACCGAAAGAAGAAGCACCGGCUAACUACGUGCCAGCAGCCGCGGUAAUACGUAGGGUGCGAGCGUUAAUCGGAAUUACUGGGCGUAAAGGGUGCGCAGGCGGCCUUCUAAGUCAGAUGUGAAAUCCCCGGGCUUAACCUGGGAACUGCGUUUGAAACUACAAGACUAGAGU